GUGUCAGCCGCCGCGGUAAUACGAAGGGUGCAAGCGUUAAUCGGAAUUACUGGGCGUAAAGCGUGCGUAGAUGGUUCAUUAAGUCGGAUGUGAAAGCCCCGGGCUCAACCUGGGAACUGCAUCUGAUACUGAUGGACUAGAGUGUGGUAGAGGAUGGCGGAAUUCCCGGUGUAGCGGUGAAAUGCGUAGAGAUCGGGAGGAACAUCCGUGGCGAAGGCGGCCAUCUGGACCAACACUGACGUUGAGGCACGAAAGCGUGGGGAGCAAACAGGAUUAGAUACCCUUGUAGUCC
rnacentral:rRNA from 1 species